rnacentral:rRNA from 1 species
CCUCAAGAGUUCUGGGCCGCACGCGCGCUACACUGACAGAGCCAACGAGUUCUUCACCUUGGCCGAAAGGUCUGGGUAAUCUUGUUAAACUCUGUCGUGCUGGGGAUAGAGCAUUGCAAUUAUUGCUCUUCAACGAGGAAUGCCUAGUAAGCGCGUGUCAUCAGCAUGCGUUGAUUACGUCCCUGACCUUUGUACACACCGCCCGUCGCUACUACCGAUUGAAUGGCUCAGUGAGGCGUUCGGACUGGCUCGGGGAGGUUGGCAACGACCACCCCAAGCCGGAAAGUUCGUCAAACUCGGUCAUUUAGAGGAAGUAAAAGUCGUAACAAGGUCUCCGUAGGUGAACCUGCGGAGGGAUCAUUACACAAAUACAAUAUGAAGGCUUCGGCUGGAUUAUUUAUUUCACCCUUGUCUUUUGCGCACUUGUUGUUUCCUGGGCGGGUUCGCCCGCCACCAGGACCACACCAUAAACCUUUUUUGUUUAAUGCAUUCAGCGUCAGUAUAACAAAUGUAAAUCAUUUACAACUUUCAACAACGGAUCUCUUGGUUCUGGCAUCGAUGAAGAACGCAGCGAAAUGCGAUACGUAGUGUGAAUUGCAGAAUUCAGUGAAUCAUCGAAUCUUUGAACGCACAUUGCGCCCUUUGGUAUUCCAAAGGGCAUGCCUGUUCGAGCGUCAUUUGUACCCUCAAGCUUUGCUUGGUGUUGGGCGUCUUGUCUUUGUUCUCCAAAGACUCGCCUUAAAACGAUUGGCAGCCGGCCUCCUGGUUUCGCAGCGCAGCACAAUUUUGCGCUUGCAAUCAGCAACAGAGGUUGGCACUUCCAUCAAGCCCUUUUUUUCUUACGUUUGGACCCCCGGAAUCAGGGUAGGGGAUACCCCCUGAAACUUAAGCCUUAUCAAUAAGCCGGAAGGAAAAAAAAACCAACCGGGGAUUGCCCUAAUUAACGGCGAAGUGGAAGCGGCCACCGCUCCAAAUUUUAAAAUUUGGGGUUCUUUUCAAAAUCCGAAUUUUUAAUUUUGCAAAAGGGGGC